CCCGCUGAACUUAAGCAUAUCAAUAAGCGGAGGAAAAGAAACCAACUGGGAUUGCCUCAGUAACGGCGAGUGAAGCGGCAAGAGCUCAAAUUUGAAAUCUGGCCCCUCUGGGGUCCGAGUUGUAAUUUGCAGAGGAUGCUUCGGGUGCGGUCCCUGUCUAAGUGCCCUGGAACGGGCCGUCAUAGAGGGUGAGAAUCCCGUCUGGGAUGGGUGGCCGUGCCCGUGUGAAGCGCCUUCGACGAGUCGAGUUGUUUGGGAAUGCAGCUCUAAGCGGGUGGUAAAUUUCAUCUAAAGCUAAAUAUUGGCCGGAGACCGAUAGCGCACAAGUAGAGUGAUCGAAAGAUGAAAAGCACUUUGAAAAGAGAGUUAAAUAGCACGUGAAAUUGUUGAAAGGGAAGCGUUGUCCACCAGACUCGCCCGGGGGGGCUCAGCCGGCACGUGUGCCGGUGUACUCCCCUCCGGGCGGGCCAGCAUCGGUUUGGGCGGCUGGUGAAAGAUCCCGGGAAUGUAGCACUCUCUGGGGUGCCUUAUAGCCUGGGGUGCCAUGCGGCCUGCCUGGACCGAGGCCCGCGCUUCGGCGAGGAUGCUGGCGUAAUGGUGGUCAACGACCCGUCUUGAAACACGG
rnacentral:rRNA from 1 species